CCUACGGGAGGCAGCAGUGAGGAAUAUUGGUCAAUGGCCGCAAGGCUGAACCAGCCAAGUCGCGUGAGGGAUGACGGCCCUAUGGAUUGUAAACCUCUUUUGUCAGGGAGAAAAGGGCGCCACGUGUGGCGUUUUGCGAGUACCUGAAGAAAAAGCAUCGGCUAACUCGGUGCCAGCAGCCGCGGUAAUACGGAGGAUGCGAGCGUUAUCCGGAGUUAUGGGGUGUAACGGGGGCGCAGGCGGAAUGUAAAGUCAGCGUGAAAAUUUCGGGGCUCAACCCCGUCGUGACGUUGAAACUGGGGUGCUUGAGUGAGGGAGAGGUAUGCGGAAUGCGUGGUGUAGCGGUGAAAUGCAUAGAUAUCACGAAGAACUCCGAUGGCGAAGGCAGCAUACCGGCGCGCAACUGACGCUCAUGCACGAAAGCGUGGGUAUCGAACAGGAUUAGAUACCCGUGUAGUC
rnacentral:rRNA from 1 species